UGCAAGUCGAACGCGAAAGUGGAGCACUCCAUGAGUAGAGUGGCAAACGGGUGAGUAACGCGUGGGCGACCUACCUCAGAGUGGGGGAUAACCUUCCGAAAGGAGGGCUAAUACCGCAUGACAUACCGUGUUCGGAUACACGGAUAUCAAAGCCGGGGAUCGCAAGACCUGGCGCUUGGAGAGGGGCCCGCGUCCGAUUAGCUAGUUGGUGAGGUAACGGCCCACCAAGGCUCCGAUCGGUAUCCGGCCUGAGAGGGCGGACGGACACACUGGAACUGAGACACGGUCCAGACUCCUACGGGAGGCAGCAGUGGGGAAUUGUUCGCAAUGGGCGCAAGCCUGACGACGCAACGCCGCGUGGAGGAUGAAGACUUUCNGGUCGUAAACUCCUUUCGACCGAGAUGAAUUUCCCACGACCUAACACGUCGUGGGAGUGACAGUAUCGAGGGAAGAAGCCCCGGCUAACUCCGUGCCAGCAGCCGCGGUAAUACGGGGGGGGCAAGCGUUGUUCGGAAUUACUGGGCGUAAAGGGUUUGUAGGUGGCUUGUUAAGUCAGACGUGAAAUCCCUCAGCUUAACUGGGGAACUGCGUCUGAUACUGGCGAGCUUGAGUGCAGGAGAGGAACGCGGAAUUCCAGGUGUAGCGGUGAAAUGCGUAGAUAUCUGGAGGAACACCGGUGGCGAAGGCGGCGUUCUGGACUGCAACUGACACUGAUAAACGAAAGCCAGGGUAGCAAACGGGAUUAGAUACCCCGGUAGUCCUGGCCCUAAACGAUGAAUGCUUGGUGUGGCGGGUAUCGAU
rnacentral:rRNA from 1 species